UCACGUUCGUUGAACGGAGAAAACUCGCACUGGGAGAGACAGACCUCUGCUGCUUGCAGCACUUACAACAAUGGCGACAGGCAACAAUGGAGACAUUCUAAUGCUAGAGGCUGCAUGGGAUUCUUCUAGGCCAUGGUCGAGCUCCACCAUUGCCGAAGUCAUCGAUGCGUUGCCGUACAUCGACGACGACUAUGGGAACCCAUCCGUUAAGGCCGAGGUCGACCGUUUGGUUGGGGAGGAGAUGCGCAGGAGCUCCAAGAAGCCCGCAGACUUCCUUAGGGACCUGCCUCCCCUCCCCAAGUUGAACUUCGAGGAUCACCCGAUGCUUGCUAGAGAGUAUGACCGAGUAAGAGCUGGGAGGCCUCCAGUUAUUAUUGAUAACUCACAAGCUAAACCAGAAAUUCCACCAGGGAAUAAAAUGAAUGACGAAAGUGCAUGGAAGCAAGCACUUCAGAAAGCUCAAUACUUGUCACAGCAUCAAAUGAUCAGGGUGGAAAACCUGGAGCUAAUGUCAAAAUGUGGCCCUGAAGUGUGGAUACAGCACAAUAAACGAUUGGAAGCAUUCUUAUCCAGAAUGCAAAAAUUAGCUCAGGAGCAAAAUGAGAAGAUUGAAGCUGUCAACCGUGAAAGAAAAUACCAUCAGCAACAAACCGCGUAUGAGCUCAACGCUUUGUCAGCACAAUGGAAGGAGCUCUGUCUGAAAAAUAUUGAUAUCCAAGCGGGAUGUACUGAACUUGAAAAUCGUGUUGAGAAACUUAAGACAGAAGCUGCAGAGAGAGGUUGGAACUUGGAUUCUAAUCUAGAGAAUGGCACUCAAUUACACGCAUGACAAUGAGUGAAUGGCUUCUAUGUUCGGCUUACGAAAUGACUUCAACAAAAUGUUCGCAGUUUUCAUUUGAUUUUGCUUGAAAUGCUUCUGGAAAUUAUAGUGCUAAGAUGGAAGAUGCAUCAAUACAGGCAUUGUUGCAUUUCUGAUGAGGUCAACUAUACUCUCUGUGACGAGGUUUUCCCAUGUAAUUGAUUUGCACCUGUUGGUGUUUUUUACUCUUUAUGUACUUCUAAUGACUGCAAAAUUCUAGCAGUGUACUAUAUUUUUGCCUCC